rnacentral:piRNA from 1 species
UGUUGAACAAACAGGUGCUCCAGGCUU